GCGUUGCGUCCCGGGAAAGGGCGGGCGCCGGCGUAGCGGGAUAGACGCUGAGGGGCGGGCGCGCGCGGAGGGGCUGCUUGAGCGAGGCGGACGCCGGACUACGGAAGAACACCGGGGUCAAGGACACCGGAGACGCUACAGGAAUAUCCCUGGCGGCGUCGCUACUAAAGACGAAGUCUGGAAACCCCCCCAAGUGCCCAAGGCGACGAUACUUCGGUGCAUUGUGGUAGACGUGCAGCAGCACAACUAGCCAACGGCAGUGGGUGGCAUACGGCAGCCAGGAUGAACGGCCAAGAAGUUCGUUCGUUUUUUCCGGUUUCUGUGGUCCCCAAGGUCUAUGCACUUGGCCUGCUCCCCUGGCUGUGGAAGAAGAGGGGGCUCCUGCUGUCUCCCCCCAGCUCCGUCUGCUGGGUGGAGUGAAGGCCACGUGGGACCAUCAAAGCCCUUUCCAUCAUCUUAGAUCCUGACCUUCCCAUGAAACCUGCCCAGGAGGAGGGGGUGACACCAAGAAGAGGGAGAAAAGCUGGAACUGGAGUAAAUGCGAAGACCUGUAGGUGUGGAGACCCUGAGGCCUGGCUGGGAGCCCAAGGAUUCAGGCAGGGUCCCAGCGAGGGCGGCUCAAGACGCCUUCCCUUGGCAUCCUUGUCAUCGCAGCUCAGGAGCUGCCCAGGAGCACACAAGGCAGGUCCAAACCCGGACCUAAUGCAGGACUCAGCCCGCGGGGCACCCACAGGCCCUCAGCGAGGAGCGUGUGCCCCACGGAAGGCUCUGCCAUGCUUGUCAGGACUGGAGAGGCUGCCUGGAAACACUUUUGUGCCUGCCUUUAGAAAUUUGCUUGCACUUUCUAGAAAAUAUACAUCAUAUAUAUAUUUUUUAUAUGUAAAAAUAUAAAUACACACACAUAUUCAGAUGUCUCCCUUGAAACUGUGACGCCCGCACGUUAACAUUCUCAUCUUAAACAGAGAACACUUGGCUUGGGGGUAGAGCUACCCAUGUGCUAAAUCAGCAGCUGUGGAUUGUCUUGCCCCUUAGGUUUCAGAUCUGCCUGGCCCUGUGAUGCACGAGGCUCCCCUGAGCUUUGAUGUCAGAAGAACUUGAGGUGCCCUGUCCCUCCCUCAGGUCCCCGCAGCCUGGAGCCUCAGCUCCUCCAUCUCUGCGUACCUGGCACGAGAUGCAAAGUGCCCGGAGCAGCUCGGCACCAAUGGACAGAAACUCCUUUAAGCAGCUUCCAGCCUUGGAGGACCCGACACAUCCAACUUUUUCAAUUUUACACUCAUUGUGCAAGUAUAUUGAACAUGAAUCGUAUUCAUUUAUCACCCAAGUGAGAAAACAUGGAUCUUUUAAAAUCCUACCAAAUGUAAACUUUUCCUAAGACCUCAUCUAUACAAAGAAGUAACUACUAGUUGGACUGAUCUUUCAAGACCUCUCUUUAUGAUUACUUAUUUCCUGAAAUGUUUUAUUUUUUAUUAAACUAACAUGUAUUGCACAAAAUUCAGAAGAAAAUAUCAAAGUGAAAGAAGAAAUUUUUUUAAUUAUCCAUAACCCUGUCAGGUAGAGUGAUAACAACUAUGAAUAUUUUGGUGUUUUUCAUUCAUUUUGUGUGGAUACACAUAUAUAUAAAUAAAUACGUGCCAAUGUGGAAUGACAUGGUAACAUUUAUUUGAUAAUCUUUUUCUAAACAUUUCAUCAAUAUAUACUACAGAAAAAUGCACAACCUCCUUUUUUUUUUUUUUAUCUUUGCAGUACGCAGGCCUCUCACUGUUGUGGCCUCUCCCGUUGCGGAGCACAGGCUCCGGACGCUCAGGCUCAGCGGCCAUGGCUCACGGGCCCAGCCGCUCCGCGGCAUGUGGGAUCUUCCCAGCCCGGGGCACGAAUCUGUAUCCCCUGCAUCGGCAGGCGGACUCUCAACCACUGCGCCACCAGGGAAGCCCAUCCUUUUAUAUGCAAUACAUGACAACCAUCUUGACCUAGCAUUAAAUCCUCUUCUAUAGCAGAGUGCAGACUUCUUCUGUGAACCUGCUGCCUCUCGGGAUUCCGAAAUUGCCUGAGGCCAAACAACCUUCUGAUAUGAGUUUCAGUUCUUCAGUAAGAUUUUUUUUCUUUUUCUUUUUUUUUUUUUUUUUUGGCCUUGCCACGCGGCUUGCAGGAUGUUGGUUCCCCGACCAGGGAUUGAACCUGCGCCCUCAGCACCUCAGCGGUGAAAGCACGGAGUCCUAACCACUAGACUGCCGGGGAAUUCUCCAGUAGGACUCUUAUUUCAAGGUCCUGCACACUCUCCCAGGUCAUCUAUGGAAACUCAUGGGCCUUAGGACCACCUGUAUCAGGACCCUGGGGCUCUUGAUUAAAAUGCAGAUUCUUGAGUUCCCACCUCAGCCUUGCUGAAUAAGAAUGUCUGGGUUUGGGCUCCAGGAAUCUUCAUUUUAAAUAAGCCCAUCUAGAAAUUCUUAUGAGCAUUAAAGUCUGAGUGACCCUGGCCUUUGGCCACAUUAAUGUGAGCAUUCCUUUUUGGGGUGUUGUUUUCCAGAAUGGUUGAGGAGGUAUAGCCCUCGCAUUCUUUAUGAAAGGGGCUUUGUGUUCCUCAGUGACACCUAGAUUGUAGGGUCUCUGCUUAACAGAAGGUUGUGUGGAGAUGAGAUGCCUUGGUGGUGGGGGAGACGAGCCGGCUGCAUUACCUACUCAACCACUUUCACCCCUCGGAGCCUGGAUUUUCUCACUGCAAAACGGUGGUGAAAAUAAUUAUCUCAUGGGGUUGCUCCAAGGACUGCAUGAGAUAAUGUUUGGGAAAGUCUCUGCAAACCAAAAUCUGCUCUACAAUAUUAUUGUUAUCCACAGCUCAACACUUUUCCCUCUCAGCCAUGGGGGGUCCUGGGUAACCAUUGCUCCUACACGUGUGAUGCCCUUAUACGGUAGCCACUAGCCACAUGUGACUUGAACAUUUAAAAUGUGGAUAGUCUGGGGAAUUCCCUGGCACUCCAGUGGUGAGGACUCUGCGCUUCCACUGCAGGGAGCCUGGGUUUGAUACCUGGUCAGGGAACUAAGAUCCCACAUGCCGUGCAGUGUAGCCAAAAGAAAAAAAAAGUGGCUAGUCUGAAUAUUGUUAGUUUUUUUUUAUAUUUAUUGAAAUAGAGUUGAUUUACAAA